rnacentral:rRNA from 1 species
GAUGAACGCUGGCGGCGUGCCUAAUACAUGCAAGUCGAGCGGACAGACGAGGAGCUUGCUCCGCUGACGUUAGCCGCGGACGGGUGAGAAACACGUGGAUAACCUACCUAUAAGACUGGGAUAACUUCGGGACACCGGAGCUAAUCCCGGAUAAUAUAUUGAACCGCAUGGUUCAAUAGUGAAAGACGGUUUUGCUGGCACUUAUAGAUGGAUCCGCGCCGCGUUAGCUAGUUGGUAAGGUAACGGCUUACCAAGGCAACGAUGCGUAGCCGACAUGAGAGCGUGAAGGGCCACACAGGAACUGAGACACGGUCCAGACUCCUACGGGAGGCAGCAGUAGGGAAUCUUCCGCGAUGGGCGAAAGCCUGACGGAGCAACGCCGCGUGAGUGAUGAGGGUCUGCGGAUCGUAUAACUCUGUUAUUAGGGAAGAACAAAUGUGUAAGUAACUAUGCACUUCUUGACGGUACCUAAUCAGAAAGCCACGGCUAACUACGUG